UUAGUACAGGUAAAUGGUGUCACACAUGCGUUAUAGCCAUAAUAGCCUUUUCCCAAAAAAACUUAUCGCAACUUCAAUUUAAAUAAAAAACACACAAAACACCCUGUUGUUAACACCAGGUUGAAUGUUUAUUGCAGGUAAAAAAACUUUAUCACAACGGAUUAAAUAAAAACACGGAAAAAGCACGUCAUUAACACCAGGCUGAGCACUUAACAUGUAAAUAGUGUCAUACAUGAGUAACAGGCGUAAUAAAAUUUUCCAAAUAAAAUUUAUCACAACGGUUUAAAUAAAAACACAGGAAACAGCCCGUCGUUAACACCAGGCUGAGCGCUUAACAGGUGAAUCGUGUCAUACAUGAGCAUAGGGGUAAUACCAUUUUCCAAAAAUCCUUAUCGCUUCGGUUUUAAAAGAAAUCAGUGAACAGCCUGGCAUUAACCCGGUUCAGUUUAAAAAAUUACUCAGCAAU